rnacentral:rRNA from 1 species
UACGUAGGGUGCAAGCGUUGUCCGGAAUUAUUGGGCGUAAAGAGCUCGUAGGCGGUUCGUCGCGUCGGCUGUGAAAACCCGGAGCUCAACUCCGGGCCUGCAGUCGAUACGGGCGGACUAGAGUUCGGCAGGGGAGACUGGAAUUCCUGGUGUAGCGGUGAAAUGCGUAGAUAUCAGGAGGAACACCUGUGGCGAAAGCGGCUCACUGGACCAUAACUGACGCUGAUGCACGAAAGCUAGGGGAGCAAACAGG